rnacentral:rRNA from 1 species
CAGCACCUCAAGUGGUCAGGAUGAUUAUUGGGCCUAAAGCAUCCGUAGCCGGCUCUGUAAGUUUUCGGUUAAAUAUGUACGCUCAACGUACAGGCUGCCGGGAAUACUGCAGAGCUAGGGAGUGGGAGAGGUAGACGGUACUCGGUAGGAAGGGGUAAAAUCCUUUGAUCUAUUGAUGACCACCUGUGGCGAAGGCGGUCUACCAGAACACGUCCGACGGUGAGGGAUGAAAGCUGGGGGAGCAAACCGGAUUAGAGACCCGAGUAGUCC